GAAGAUGUAACGGGGCUAAACCAUGCACCGAAGCUGCGGCAGCGAACGUAUCACUUAAAGCGAUUCAGCGGGUUACGAUUGACGGAGCGAAGCGACGUCAAAGCGUAUACAAAGUCGAGUCGGUUUAAGGAUACGUUCGUUGGGUAGGGGAGCGUUCUGUAAGCCUGUGAAGGUGGCCUGUGAGGGUUGCUGGAGGUAUCAGAAGUGCGAAUGCUGACAUAAGUAACGAUAAAGCGGGUGAAAAGCCCGCUCGCCGGAAGACCAAGGGUUCCUGUCCAACGUUAAUCGGGGCAGGGUGAGUCGACCCCUAAGGCGAGGCCGAAAGGCGUAGUCGAUGGGAAACAGGUUAAUAUUCC
rnacentral:rRNA from 1 species